GACGAACGCUGGCGGCGUGCUUAACACAUGCAAGUCGAACGAGACGAUUGAAAGCUUGCUUUUAAAAGUCGAGUGGCAAACGGGUGAGUAACGCGUAGACAACCUACCUUUGAGAUGGGGACAACAGUUCGAAAGGACUGCUAAUACCGAGUGUUGUAUAUUUUCCACAUGGAAGAUAUAUUAAAGAUGGCCUCUAUUUAUAAGCUAUCGCUCAAAGAUGGGUCUGCGUCUGAUUAGCUGGUUGGUGGGGUAACGGCCUACCAAGGCGACGAGCAGUAGCCGGUCUGCGAGGAUGAACGGCCUCAUUGGGACUGAGACACGGCCCAGACUCCUACGGGAGGCAGCAGUGGGGAAUCUUCCACAAUGGACGAAAGUCUGAUGGAGCAACGCCGCGUGAGUGAAGAAGGGUUUCGGCUCGUAAAGCUCUGUUGUCGGGGACGAAUGUGCAGUAUUUGAAUAAAGUACUGCAAUGACGGUACCUGACGAGGAAACCACGGCUAACUACGUGCCAGCCGCCGCAGUAA
rnacentral:rRNA from 1 species